AGUCCUUUCUGAAGCGCGCUUGCAGGCUGUCUUCCUCAGUCGCCCUCUCCCUGGGUGCUGUUUUGCUGGGCAGCAUCCCAUGCUAGGCUCGGCAGACAUUCUGGCGGUUGGGUUCGGCCCUUACAGCGCUAACACCUGCAGAGUCGAGGCUCCUGCCAAAAGGCAGAAAGCAAAGGAGGAAAAAAUUCAUUGUCAUAAUAGCGAAAAUGAUAAACCUCAGCUGUUUAAGAGAAGAAUGUCUGAGUAGCUGUUGAUUAUCUCCCAUAAUCACAAAACAACUUUUUUUUAAAAAGAAUUUGCACUGUCUGUUAAAACGCGGUCAUUGUUUUGCUUUCAAAUCGAACUUCACGACAGUUAGCAACUUCAAGAACGCUUCCAAAUGGAUAAAUCUUUCCAGAAGGUUUUUCUGUGGACCUAAAUUUUCAUUUCUCUGGGAUAAAUGUCCAGGAGUGUGAUUGCUGGGUCAUAUGAUCUACAGUCCCUCUUGGACAGAUUUUCCUGUGUGUAUAUGAUAUGAGGUGUCACAUGCCAUUCUUCUGAUUUUCAUGAAUAUCCUCUAAAAGGCAGCUAAGCACUCGCUGUCUUCUUCCUUUUGCCUCAUCAAGCACGGGGGACGCUGGAAGGAAGAGUAUUUGUACAGUUGAGCCGAAAUGCCUGUUCUAACAAAGAGAGCCUGGGUGGGACUGCCAAGAUGAAUAGACAUAAUCCUCGAUCUAACCACUUCACAGUUUAUCAUCGGAGUCAAGUUUGCAGAUAAACAAUUGCCAUGCAACUUUCAAGAGACGGGGUGUCAUCCUGUUGCUCAGGCUGGUCUCAAACUCCUGGCCCUAAGUGAUCCUCCUGCCUCAGCCUCUCAAAGUGCUGGGAUUACGGGUGUGAACCUAAUCGCAGAGUUGAGAAUAACUCAUCCAGGGUUGUUGAAUGGUGGAGGAUCUUCCAAAAUCAGCAGCUAGGAGGUCGAGAACCCUUCAUGCCAUACUAAGAAGUUUCAUGCUAGGCAAAGAAGAGUGACAAGGUAUUUCAACAGGUGAAUGAUAGGUACACAAAGAAGGAUUACCACAGGAAAUCCAGAGAGGCUUUAGAAGACGAGCUUGCGUUGAGAUAGAAGCCGGAAGCCCACUUAGCCAACUGCCUCCAUGGGACUUGGCAUGAGGCAGGCUUAUGACAGUAAAUGCUACACUGCCCUCAGUGAAAAAGAGAAUUUGGCAUUCAUUCUUCUGAACCCGCCAUCCCUCAGCCUUGGCGCCUGGGAAUUCUGCGAAUCGUUGCCUGUGGCAGUGACACUGAUUUGUAUCUGGGUAUGAACUUAAAUGAAAACAUGAAUUGAACUCAUUACUUGAGGAAGGAAACACUGCCAAAUUUAACAGGAUGAAAUUCCAGCAGGGUGUAAGGUUUUAUGGGGCUACAGUGGAAUAUCUCAUAGAAAGGUUUCCAGUUCAUAAAACACUUUCAAAACAUGCUCGGCCCUUUUAAGUUGAAGGGACAUUAUCAUUUCUAUCUAUGGCAUUUCUCUGCAAAUUGAACUCAAAUAUCCUUUGGGCUGACUACACAGAGAACAGAAGAAAGAAGUGGAAGAAACUUGGACUGAAGAUUGCCUCCCUGAAAAGGUUUUCUUCAGGCAGAAUUAGGUGAGAACAAAUGACAUCAGAAAGUAGCAUGUCAGUAUACUGCUGCCAGCUCCAUAUGGUUCAGCUUGUUUUCACAGGUAUUUAAUUAAUUCCACAAACAUAUAUUGAGUAUCAGAUGUGGGAUCCUGUUCAACACAUUUGGGGUACAGUAGUCAAUUAGUCUACUCUCAUGGCACAUACAUGCUGGAAGGAGAGAAAAACAAUAAAUAAAUGAACAAAAGAUGCAGUAUCAGGUAGUGAUCAUUGCUAUCAAGAAAAAUAAAGCAAGAGAAAAUGGGAUAGAAGGUGUCAGGGGUGCGGGGUGACAUUUUACAUAGUGUGUUUGGCAAAGGCAAUUCUCAGGUGGUGACAUUUGAACAGAAGCUUGAAUGAAGUGACCUACAUGUUGAAUCCAGAAAGCUAAUUUUAUAUAUAUAUAUUUUUGGAAGGGGGCAGGAGAUAAUAAGCUAGUAAAAGGGUUGGGAAAUUAUUUUGAUUCAAGGAUGCCCAGUUUAAAAAACUGUAAGAGACAGCCCCUCUUUUUCUCCCAGUAUAGCGCUUUCGGUGGCCAUUUGAAUAGAGCUCUGCAUGUUUCCUUGGGAUUUUCUGGUGUUCAUGGCAUAACAACCAGCCAGCAGUCUUCUGGCUGGACCACGUUUUACUUGCUAGCAAGGAGCAGAAGCUGUGGAAAUUGGCAUGUAGAGAUGUAAAAGGAUUUUAUACUUUUCAGCCUGGGCAGAAAAUUAUAGAGAAAAGUAGGUGGGAGUCAGAAAAACAUGAAAUGAGAAAGAAAAGCAUAAUCUGAGUGAGUUCUCUCUCUUUUUUUUUUUGUUUUCUAUGUUUAUCUUUCCACAGCUUUUUCACUGGCUCUGUUAAAAAGCAAAUAUCACUGCAAACUUCAUUUCAUUUUCUCUCAACAGAUGAAAUAAAGCUUGUUAAAAUGUUUUUCCCUUCUGUCAGGUGCAAACUCCAUGUUAGCAGGUUUGAAAACUUUCACAUGUUCAGAUAGCAAUGGAGGUUUUAACUUGGCCAACAUCAACAAACAAACCAUGAGUCCCUCACGUGUGCAAUGCUUGCAUAGAAUGAAAUUGAGUAUGAGCAUGUUUGCCAACCCUACUACAAAUGGUUUAUUUAGAAUAGUAGAAUGUGAAAAAUACAGAUUUAUUUUUAAUAGCUAGUACCAUGAUGAUUAUUGAUUUUUUCUUCCAGAUUAUUAAUUUAAAUAGCAAAAUUAUGCUACAUGUUUAAAAUAUGUCUGUAUCCUGAAAGUACUUAUUGUAAGCUUAAGCCCAGUCUUAUUUCUAAAAAGAUAAUUUGUAGGAGGUAUAAUUUUCAUUUGUAUUCAUGUAUAUUAAUAUAUUUUUUGGUGUUACACUGUUGCAUGAGGAUAGCUGUAAGGUCAGGAUAUUUAGGAAACCUCUGAAUUGAACAUUGAGCUUGUGGAUCUAAUAUUUAAGUAACUGGUUUCUGUCUACGUACUCUUUUCUCUUCCGUGGUAAGCCCUGCAGGCAAGCUCACUUCUCUAUGUUCUCAGUUGUAAAUGAGGAAAGUAGGACGAGGUAUGGAGCUGGAGGGUAAAUGGCAGAAUAGAAGACAGAGUGCCAUUCUGCGUAAGAGCACCACCUUUUGUGUUUGGCAGGCUUGGUUUUAGUCCUGAUUUUUCCAGGUCCAAGUAUAAUCUGGAGCAUUUCUCAAAUUCACUAAACCUCAGUUUCACCUUCUGUAAAACGAAGCUAUUUCAUUGAGUUAUUUUGGGUUACAUAUGUAAAAUUUACAGCCAAAUACUUAACACUCAAGUCU
ensembl:lncRNA LNC-LBCS lncRNA bladder and prostate cancer suppressor, hnRNPK interacting